rnacentral:lncRNA from 1 species
AUUGACCAAAUGUGACAAUGAUCAAAACUGAGUUAAGAAACAAAUACGCUACACAAUCACACAUAAUACCUCCUGAAGACCACCACAUAAUUUCCUUCCAUUCACAGCAUUGAUUGAGUCACCUGAUCGCACUCCAACUUUAUCAGCAGGCGAUCCUUUAUACACCUGUGCUAGAUCAUUUCAAAGCUCAUAACAAAAGCCAAAAAUUACAUAAAAUAGUACCAGAAGUUGAUCAAAGAGAUAGCUUAGAGGCUUGAACCAAUUAUCAGACAGAUUUAAAAAUUGUGAUUCCCGGAUAUGCAAAAACCGAUAAGAAAACGGACGAUGAAAGGAAACAGACAUACAAAGUGAUGUAGGAGGGUUUCUUUAGUAUUUUAUUAUUUUAGCUAGAUUUAAUUUUACUAUAUUUUAGCUAGAUUUGUUAUUUUCUUUUAUUAUCUUUUAGCUAGAUUUGUUAUUUUCCUUAGCUAGGUUUGUAAUUUUCUUUUACUAUAUUUUAGCUAGAUUUGUUAUUUUUAUUUUUCAGUAGUAUUUAAGCUAAACUAUUGCAGCCUUGCAAUCUUUUCAUUCAAUAAAAUUAUAGAGAUUUUUCUCAAGUUUGGUGGAAUCCAAAUUAUUUACUCCUUCUGGUGGAUUCCGGAAGUCUGGUGGAUUCUAGAUUAGUUACUCCUUCUGGUGG